GACGAACGCUGGCGGCGUGCUUAACACAUGCAAGUCGAACGGAAAGGCCCUGCUUUUGUGGGGUGCUCGAGUGGCGAACGGGUGAGUAACACGUGAGUAACCUGCCCUUGACUUUGGGAUAACUUCAGGAAACUGGGGCUAAUACCGGAUAGGAGCUCCUGCUGCUUGGUGGGGGUUGGAAAGUUUCGGCGGUUGGGGAUGGACUCGCGGCUUAUGAGCUUGUUGGUGGGGUAGUGGCUUACCAAGGCUUUGACGGGUAGCCGGCCUGAGAGGGUGACCGGCCACAUUGGGACUGAGAUACGGCCCAGACUCCUACGGGAGGCAGCAGUGGGGAAUAUUGCACAAUGGGCGGAAGCCUGAUGCAGCAACGCCGCGUGCGGGAUGACGGCCUUCGGGUUGUAAACCGCUUUCGCCUGUGACGAAGCGUGAGUGACGGUAAUGGGUAAAGAAGCACCGGCUAACUACGUG
rnacentral:rRNA from 1 species